GAAGGAAUAGCUCAGUGGUAGAGCACAUGCUUAGCAGGCAUGAUAGUCCUGGGUUCACUCCCCAGUUCUCCCU
rnacentral:tRNA from 1 species